GACGAACGCUGGCGGCGUGCUUAACACAUGCAAGUCGAACGCUGAAGCUUGGUGCUUGCACUGGGUGGAUGAGUGGCGAACGGGUGAGUAAUACGUGAGUAACCUGCCCUUGACUCUGGGAUAAGCCUGGGAAACUGGGUCUAAUACUGGAUACGACAUGUCACUGCAUGGUGGUGUGUGGAAAGGGUUUUACUGGUUUUGGAUGGGCUCACGGCCUAUCAGCUUGUUGGUGGGGUAAUGGCUCACCAAGGCGACGACGGGUAGCCGGCCUGAGAGGGUGACCGGCCACACUGGGACUGAGACACGGCCCAGACUCCUACGGGAGGCAGCAGUGGGGAAUAUUGCACAAUGGGCGGAAGCCUGAUGCAGCGACGCCGCGUGAGGGAUGACGGCCUUCGGGUUGUAAACCUCUUUCAGCACGGAAGAAGCGAAAGUGACGGUACGUGCAGAAGAAGCGCCGGCUAACUACGUG
rnacentral:rRNA from 1 species